rnacentral:rRNA from 1 species
AUUUUUAUCUUACUUUAUUUGUUAAUAUUGAUUAAGAGAAAUAUCUUUAAUUUUAGUAUAAAUAAAGAACAAAAUUUUUAUUGUUAUAGUAAAUUAGUACUGUAAAGGAAUGUUGAUGAAAUAUAUUGAAAAUAUAAUUUUUGAAAAGUAGAUUUUAUUUAUUGUACCUUUUGUAUCAGGGUUGAUUAAAUAUAUUUAAUUUAUUUUAUGUUCUCGAUUUCAGAAGAGCUAAUUUUAAAAUUAUUGUUGUUGUUAUAUAACCAUAUUUAAUUUAAUUUUAGAGGAGAUAUUCCAUUCGAUUUUGAAGGUAUCUAGUUUUUUAAGAAAUAAAUUUAAUUUAGAUUUGUUUAUUAAAUAAUUUAUUUAUUAAUUAUUUAUAAAUCGGAAUUAAAAUAUUAGGGGAUAAGCUCUAAUAUUAUUCUAAAAGUUUUGUAUUAUCUUGUUUUUGUAGGCUUUAAAUCAGCCAUCUUUAAGGAGUUCGUUGUAGUUCAAAUAAGUAUGAUUAUGAUUUUCUUAAUUUUAGUAUUUUAUUAAAAUGAUAUUUUUAAUUUUUUAAAAUUUGUAAUAAUGAUUAAAUUAGUAUAUGUUUUUUGUAUAUCAUUUAUAUUUGGGUAUAAUUAAAUAAGGAAUUCGGCAAAUUUAACACUCGCCUGUUUAUCAAAAACAUGUCCUCUUGCUUAUAUAUGAGGUCUGACCUGCCCGGUGAAAAUUAUUUUAACGGCCGCAGUAUUUUGACUGUGCAAAGGUAGCAUAAUCAUUAGUCUUUUAAUAGGGGGCUGGUAUGAAGGGUUUGACGAGGUGUUAGCUGUCUCAUUUAAUUUGUAGUUAGAAUUUAACUUUUCAGUUAAAAGGCUGAAAUAUUAUUGGAAGACGAUAAGACCCUAUAGAGCUUUAUAAUUAAUGUUUUAAUUGUUUUUUGUUUAUUAUUUACUAUUAUUACUUUAAUUAUUUUGUUGGGGUGACAAAAAUAUAUAGUUAACUUUUUUAUUUAUAUUAACAUUGAUUAAUGAAUAUUAGAUCCAUUAUUAUUGAUUGUUAGAUUAAGUUACCUUAGGGAUAACAGCGUAAUCUUCCUUCAGAGUUCAUAUUUACGGGAAGGCUUGCGACCUCGAUGUUGGAUUAAGAUAAUAGUUAGGUGUAGCCGCUUAAUGUAUAGGUCUGUUCGACCUUUAAAUUCUUACAU